UAGUUAAGUUAGUGGCGACGGUGAGUAACGCGUGGGUAACCUGCCGUAUACCGGGGAGUAACACCUGGAAACAGGUGCUAAUACCGCAUAAGCGCACGGGACCGCAUGGUCCAGUGUGAAAAACCGAGGUGGUAUGCGAUGGACCCGCGUCUGAUUAGCCAGUUGGCAGGGUAACGGCCUACCAAAGCGACGAUCAGUAGCCGGCCUGAGAGGGUGGACGGCCACAUUGGGACUGAGACACGGCCCAAACUCCUACGGAAGGCAGCAG
rnacentral:rRNA from 1 species